rnacentral:rRNA from 1 species
AGCGAACGCUGGCGGCAGGCCUAACACAUGCAAGUCGAACGAACUCUUCGGAGUUAGUGGCGGACGGGUGAGUAACACGUGGGAACGUGCCUUUAGGUUCGGAAUAACUCAGGGAAACUUGUGCUAAUACCGAAUGUGCCCUUCGGGGGAAAGAUUUAUCGCCUUUAGAGCGGCCCGCGUAUGAUUAGCUAGUUGGUGAGGUAAAGGCUCACCAAGGCUACGAUCAGUAGCUGGUCUGAGAGGAUGACCAGCCACAUUGGGACUGAGACACGGCCCAAACGCCUACGGGAGGCAGCAGUGGGGAAUCUUGCGCAAUGGGCGAAAGCCUGACGCAGCCAUGCCGCGUGGAUGAUGAAGGUCUUAGGAUUGUAAAAUCCUUUCACCGGUGAAGAUAAUGACUGUAGCCGGAGAAGAAGCCCCGGCUAACUUCGUGCCAGCCGCCGCGGUAAAAC